UUGAGUCGUCAAGCAGGCACAGAGCACAGAGUGAAAACACCGCUUUUGGGUGAAGUGGCAACACGUGCUGUUGACUUCGAUCGCUGGUGUGACAAGG
rnacentral:snoRNA from 1 species